AUUGAACGCUGGCGGCAGGCCUAACACAUGCAAGUCGAACGGUAACAGGAAGAAGCUUGCUUCUUUGCUGACGAGUGGCGGACGGGUGAGUAAUGUCUGGGAAACUGCCUGAUGGAGGGGGAUAACUACUGGAAACGGUAGCUAAUACCGCAUAAUGUCGCAAGACCAAAGAGGGGGACCUUCGGGCCUCUUGCCAUCGGAUGUGCCCAGAUGGGAUUAGCUAGUAGGUGGGGUAACGGCUCACCUAGGCGACGAUCCCUAGCUGGUCUGAGAGGAUGACCAGCCACACUGGAACUGAGACACGGUCCAGACUCCUACGGGAGGCAGCAGUGGGGAAUAUUGCACAAAGGGCGCAAGCCUGAUGCAGCUAUGCCGCGUGUAUGAAGAAGGCCUUCGGGUUGUAAAGUACUUUCAGCGGGGAGGAAGGGAGUAAAGUUAAUACCUUUGCUCAUUGACGUUACCCGCAGAAGAAGCACCGGCUAGCUCCGUG
rnacentral:rRNA from 1 species